GAUUUUGCGUCGUAAGAGGUUUUUGCUGUUCGUUUCGAGCAGCGGCUGCGGUGUUGCGUCCCGUCAGGCCAUGAAAGAACAAAGGAGGAUAUCAUUUUGCGUCGUAAGGGUUAAGCUGUGUGAUAGAAGUGUGUGAUCAAGCAUCACUUGUAUUCAUACCAUGACUGUUGUGCUGUAGGGUUUUUUAUGUUUCGAGCGGCGGCAGCAGUUUUCCGUCCCAUCAGGUAAGUGUACAAGUAUCAGUUCGUGGCCGGUGUUGAUUGUGAACCAAAUUUGUUGUUGCUAUGACCAUUCUACUCGGUUUUACUCACUUUUGUUUGAACAUUACUAAUUUGCGAUUGAACGCCCUAUUCAGACACAUUUCUCUCCAGCGCUUCAGAGACAUCGCUUUCGCCGAAAUUCAGUGAAUUUUGAAGUCCACCGUUAUCGUGGGUCAUCAGAAGAACUCAGACCGCAACCCGUCAUUG